rnacentral:tRNA from 1 species
GCGGAAGUGGCGGAACGGCAGACGCGCUAGCCUCAGGAGCUAGUUGGGGAAACUCAGUGGGGGUUCGAAUCCCCCCUUCCGCACCA